rnacentral:rRNA from 1 species
UACGUAGGUGGCAAGCGUUGUCCGGAUUUAUUGGGUUUAAAGGGUGCGUAGGUGGCCCUGUAAGUCAGUGGUGAAAUAUCUCAGCUUAACUGAGAGGGUGCCAUUGAUACUGCAGGGCUUGAGUACAGAUGAGGUAGGCGGAAUUGACGGUGUAGCGGUGAAAUGCUUAGAUAUCGUCAAGAACACCUAUUGCGUAGGCAGCUAACUAAGCUUUAACUGACGCUGAGGCACGAAAGUGUGGGGAUCAAACAGG